rnacentral:rRNA from 1 species
CCUACGGGUGGCAGCAGUGGGGAAUAUUGCACAAUGGGGGGAACCCUGAUGCAGCGACGCCGCGUGGGUGAGGAAGUCCUUCCGUAUGUAAAGCCCUAUCAGCAGGGAAGAAAAUGACGGUACCUGACUAAGACGCCCCGGCUACCUACGUGCCAGCAGCCGCGGUAAUACGUAGGGGGCAAGCGGUAUCCGGAUUUACUGGGUGUAAAGGGAGCGUGAACUGGGUGCCAAGUCUGGUGGGAAAGGCCGGGGCUCAACCCCGGGACUGCAUUGGAAACUGGCAUGCUGGAGUGCCGGAGGGGCAAGCGGAAUUCGUAGUGUAGCGGUGAAAUGCGUAGAUAUUAGGAGGAACACCGGUGGCGAAGGCGGCUUGCUGGACGGUAACUGACGUUGAGGCUCGAAAGCGUGGGGAGCAAACAGGAUUAGAUACCCUAGUAGUC